UUUGGUUUCACCUCAUGUAAUAGUGUAAAUAAAUAUGGUAAAUUUGUUCUCAAUGUUGUAAUUUGAUUCACAUAAAUUUGUAAUUUUAAUUCAACUAGAUGUAAAUUAAGGGUACGAUAAACAUCUCAGUACCAUAGCUUGUUUAAUAAACAUAAACAACCACUAUGCAUUGAACUAUUGCGUUUUUGAUCUUCUACUAGUUAUGGAUCAAAUUGAUCUUCUACUAGUUAUGGAUCAAAUUGAUCUUGAUGGAAACGCCAAGAGUUGAACCAAGAUCUAAUACAUGAGUUGGUAUCUCAACAUACUCGUUGUUUAUUUAAAUUUCAUUGUCAUCACUUGUUUAAUAAACAUAAACAACAACAAAAAAUCAUUGAUGGAAUCGCAAGAAGUCGAACCAAAAUCUAAUACAUCCGUAAUUUAGUUGAUAUCUCAACGUACUUGCUAUUCAUAUAAAUUUUAUUGUCAUCACUUAGAUUAAUAAACAUAGACAACAAAAGAAAAUUUAAUAUAGACGCUAGAAGUCGAACCAAGAUCUACUCAAUUAAUAUUUGUUUCCAAAAAUUGUUUUACCCUGUUUUUUUUUUUGUGAGACAAAAAUUGUUUUACCUAACUAGUAAUAUUUUAUUCAUACAGUAAUACUCUGUAGGGGUAAAAGUAAGUUUGUGUAUCUGAAACGAGUCAAACAACUAACAAAGAGACUACCUUCAAAAGUUCAAAGCCAUAGAUUCAGACCUCUUCUCCCUAAAUCAAAAAUGAAGAGUUCAAAACCCCUCCUCCACCUCCUUAAACCCCAAACCCCCAAAUCCAACUCCCCCUUGUUCCUCCUCACCCACCACCUCUGCACCAAUCCCAUCUCCAAUCCUCACCACGACGACGACGACGACUACGACGACUCCCUCGUAACCCAAGUCCUCCAACUCCUCCAACCCAAUGAGCAACACUGGAACUUCCCCCAACUCCAAACCCUCCUCUUCCCCAACUCCACCUCCUCUCCUUCACCCCGCUCCCUCCUCCACAUCACCCGCCGGCUCGCCUCCCCCAACAAAGCCCUCAAAUUCUUCGAUUUCGUCUCCCAGAAUCUCACCCCUCAGGACCCUCCAAAGGCCUUGCUCUCCUCCUCAUUCCAGGCCCUUGUGGAGCUCACAUUGCGACAACCCCCCUCCGAAACGAACCUUUAUGAGCUCUACAAGAUGGCCAAGGAUCGAAACGUUCCGAUUAGUCCCAAGGCCGCAGGGCUGCUUGUCCAGUCCAUGGGGAGGGCUGGGAUGGAGGAGGAGGCUCUAAUAGUGUUUAAUGAACUCGAGUCGGGGUUGAAAACUACUCAUAUUCGCAAUGUGGUAAUUGGGAUGUCGCUGAAAAUGGGGCGUGUUGAUGGUGCACUGAAGGUGCUCGACGAAAUGCUUGACCCAGAAGCAAAUUUCCAGGUUGAUGAGUAUACUGUUGAUGUUGUGGUUGGCUUGUUUUUAAGGGGAGAGAUUAGAGGGAGGAGUGUCAGUGAGGAGGAAAUUGCGGAGUUGGUGUCGAAAUUUGGUGGGCGUGGCGUGUUUCCUAAUAGCAUGGUACUUACGAAAUUGGUGAGUGGUUUGUGUAGGAACAGGAAGGUUAGUCUUGCUUGGGAUGUUUUGCAUGAUGUCAUGAAGAAGGGUGGUGCUGUAGAGGCUGCUCCAUACAAUGCGCUGUUGUCGGCUUUGGGGAGAGGGAAUGAGUUUAAGAGGAUGAGGGAGCUUAUGGCGAAGAUGGAAGAGAUGGGGAUUAAGCCCAAUGUUAUAACUUUUGGUAUUCUUAUUAAUCGGUUAUGCAAGUCUAGGAGAAUAGGUGCUGCCAUGGAGGUGUUUGAAAAGAUGAGUGGAGGAGUAAAGGGGGUUUCGGCUGAACCGGAUGUGGUCAUCUAUAACACUCUGAUUGAUGGACUUUGUAAAGUGGGAAGGCAAGAAGAAGGUUUGCGUUUGAUGGAAAAGAUGAGAUCUCAAAGUGGCUGUGCUCCUAAUACUGUUACCUAUAAUAUUUUGAUUGAUGGUUUCAACAAAGUUGGGGACAUUGAGAAGGGCCAUGAGCUCUUUGAUAAAAUGAAGGAAGAAGGGAUACCAAUGAAUGUCUCCACCCUCAAUACUAUGCUUGAUGGUCUGUCCAGGCGUGGGAGACUCAACACUGCACUUGAGUUCUUUAACGAAAUGGAGAGGAAAGGUUUGAAAGGCAAUGCUGUCACUUACACAAUCUUAAUCACUUCCUUUUGUAAUGUGACCAAUAUUCGCAAGGCAAUGGAGUUGUUUGAUCAGAUGUUGAGCUCUGGGUGUCCCACUGAUGCAAAAGUUUACCACUGCUUGAUUUCUGGUUUAAGCCAAGCCGGAAGGAUGGAGGAUGCCAGCUUUGUUGUCUCAAAGAUGAAGGAGGCUGGGUUCUCCAUGGAUAUCGUUUCUUACAAUGGGAUGAUUCGUGGGUUCUCCAGUAAAAAUAAGCCUGAUAAGAUUCAUGAGAUGAUUGAGGAAAUGGAGGUGUCUCGAGUGAAGCCUGAUAGCGUAACAUACAACACCUUGCUUGCCUACUUAGGCAAAUCUGGGGACUUUGAAAGUGCACAUAAAGUACUUGACAGGAUGCUGAGUGAGGGUAUUGUUCCCACUGUUGUCACUUUUGGUACAUUGAUUCAUGCACAUUGCUUGGAUGGUGAUAUCGAAAAAGCCAUGAGAAUCUUCAGAGACAUGGGAUCUAACUCAAAGAUACCUCCGAAUACUGUAAUCUACAAUGAUUUAAUCAAUUCUCUUUGCAAGAAGAAUGAUGCGGAACAAGCUCUUUCUUUGAUGGAGGACAUGAAAAAAAAGGGGGUGAGACCUAAUACCCAAACAUUCAAUGCCCUGUUCAAAGGCCUUAGAGAGAACAAUUUAUUAAAGAAGGCAUUUCAAUUUAUGGAUCAAAUGGUUGAAGAGGACUGUAAUCCUGAUUAUAUAACGAUGGAGAUUCUUACCGAAUGGCUUCCUGGUGUUGGUGAAAUAGAGAGGUUGAGAAAGUUUGCUCAAGGAUAUCCGGUUUCGGAGCCUCAGCCCCAACAGAAGGAUGGGAUAGUCGCAUUGUAAGAUGUUCAGGGAGAAAGCAUAAAUAUUGAUUAUGAUCUUCAAGCCAUUUUACAGUGGACAGGUCAGUUCAUUAUGCAGCCAUGCUGAUCUUGGUUGGAUAUUACUGUGUAAUCCCUUUUGCUCUCUCUUUGGUCAAGUUUGUUUCAUAAGAUAUAUUUGUAAUAUUUUUUUAUGUUUGUCCUACUGCGAGUCCAGCUUUUCCUUGAUAAAGAACUUUUAGGCAUUUACAGGCUUUAGGAACUGUAAUCUUAUUUGAGACUGCUGGGUUAGCCUAUAUGGAUUCUGAUGUAUUGGUUGGCAUAUGUUAAUUCAGAGGCAACUGGUUGCAAAUAAGAGGGAUUCAGGUAGAUGUGUAGGUAGGCGUAGGCUCAAAACUACUACAUAGUACUCUCAGCUCAGCCUCGAGCUUGUAACAAGCCUAGAACCAAAUACUUGUCAUAAUUUAUUCAAAUAGCUGUAGGCAUCAAGCUCAAACUUAUUUGCUCUCCCUGAUCCUGUAAGGGUUAUUAAGUUUGGUCUAGAAUUUUCUUUUCCUUUCUUUCUUGUCCUUUGUCAGGGUUUUGGCAUGAUAUAUAAUUCUUCGUUUGACACAGUUCUUGAUUCUUCUUAUCUUCAAUUAUUUCCUUAUAGCAUGCAGGUGCUAGUUUACCAUUUCAGCACCCACAUCAUGCCAAGGGCUCAAGGUCAGUUCAACAGCCAAAUCUCUCUGGUAUCUAUUUGUUCUCAUGAAUUUUGUUUAAAUAAAGAAGUAUCUUCCUUUUGCAGGUGACCCUGAAUUCUGUAAGCAGUUUGGACAAGUUGGAGAUGUCUGUAACAAAGCUCUAGGGUAAUUAAGGCUAGCUAGUGGAACGUUUCUGGGCGCUGCCCAUAGCCCGUACAAAACUAAUCCUGCUGAACUGCUGAAGCAGCCAAGAAGAUAGACACAAGCAAUUCAAGGUAACUGGGAAUAACCCAACCUAAUUUAUCUUUUAGGGUAAUUAAGGCUCAUCUGAGUGAAAAACCAUCUGGUCAAAAAUUGGAUUUCGAAAUAAAGGGUGGCACUGCAAAAAUGUGAAAUAUGAUUGUCUUCAUAAUAGUCAGUGUUAUCUUAGAAUAGUUUGAUGUAGCAGAAUGCCUCCUUCCUUUCCCUUAGACAUUUCUCUGUAAAAACAGUAGGCAUCCAUCGAGUGAAGUGUGGUUCCAUUUUUAGUUGUAAAAGAAAGGUUGUUCUUGUUUAAAGUUGUGUUUUAGAAUUCGAAAGCAACUUCAGUUAUUAAAGCAACAUAUCCAGUAAGAAUCAUUGGGAACAAACAUCAUUUGCAAUCCUUUUGUCAAUUUAUUUUUAGAUCCAACAUAAACGUAAAACUGCAGAAUAAUGCGAGGUCUGUUUCUUAUUCUUAUUAAUGGCAAACCAAAUCACGCACUAAUGGAAAACCAUAAUUUUUAUUGUACCAUACAAGCUAGGGAUUCAUGAUCAUGCACGCCCCCUAUUACGAUAUUCAGCUAUUCAGGUAGUAGUACAGAGGCGAGUUCCAUCAGCUCGGUAAAGGGCGCAGCCUGGUGCCGGCGCUAAGCAACAGUUGCAGGGAGGUGAAAGUUGCUCGUUUCCUGAAGACGGGCAGGUCAUAUAAGCAGCUGCAUCGUAGCAAAUAAAAGGGCAGACUUUGGCUUCAGUUGGAACAACUCCCAGUAUGACUGAACCUGCAUAUAUAUGAUAUAUUAACCCCUCAUAAUCGAGCCAAAACCUUGGUGAACAUGCAUGCAUAUAUAAGCUAUAAGUCUUAUAUGAAUUUGGCAUUUCAUGAGAACAGUAUUUCGAUAGUCGAGUACGUGUGAGAACUGAGAAGUGAUACACAGUUUUGGAUCGUUUCUUUACUUCAUAUAUUUCCGAUUUUCAUUAACUUGAGUAGUUGUGUUUCUCUUGUUCGAAACAUGAGUUGAUCAACUACAAGAGCUUAAUUAGAAAUAUAGACAGAGCAAUAGUGGAAAAGCGGUAAGAAAUCAUACCACAAACAAGGAGAAGAAGUAUUGCAGUGAUACUCUUGUCACUAGCCAUGUUUUGCUUUGAGUUUUGAGGCUGGGAACAUAAGCUAGCCUGCUAUUUAUACAAAUAAUCAACAAUUAAAAUAUAAGAAGAAUCUUUUAUCUUCAAUCCUAGCCUGCUGCUUCCAACUAUACAUUUUCUGGUGUGAAACCACCUAUAUGAUCAUGAUCCGGCUUGGAUAUAUAAAUCAAGUUAAGUUUGAUCUUAAGUUGGUGCCUUUGAAUUCAAAUAAGCCAGGAUUGAUUUGAUCAAAAUAUGCAUAUAGAAAACCUCUUAGUCUUGUAAAUUACUUGGAGGAGGGUAUAGAGAUUGCUAGGAGAACAUAAAAAAAAAAAAAAAAAAAAAAAAAAAAAAAAUCAGAUCAUAUAUAUGAUAUUACCAGAUGAAAUUCAAAGUCAACAAAUGGAGGGAUUUGAUUAUCAAGUUAGUAAACUGAGAGCUCACACUUAAACAAGGAUUACUCGAUCAUCUCCAUUAUUGUAGGGAAACAGGUUUUCAACGAUGAUUUGAUCCAAGAAUUUUGAGACCUUAAUUAGUUAAUAUAGUAUGGAGGGUGUGUCCUUAGGUCAUUCAUUAGUUUAUUUUAGCACUUUGUCCACAGAACUCUCAUAUAUAAUUUUGAUAUGUAUGAUUCAUUGCUUGAGGAGAUUCCAACCUGAGGUUUGAUCUCAGGUUGGAGCUGGCUACGUAACAACAACAUUAGUUUAUUGGGCAUUCUUUACAGCCAAGGCAAACAUGUUGAAGCUGACUUGAUGAAUCUGCCAGGAAAACCUUGAAGCAGUACAUUGUUUUAUUAGAGGAGAUCGAUGCUAAUGACAUGAUCAGCUUGUUGCUGGUUCAAAAAACUUAACCCCGGCCCUGUGGAGAGUCUUCAAUAUUUCUCCUUGAAUAAGUUAAUUUCAUCAUCAAGAAUGCAGUAUUGCCACAUAUAUCUUAAUAUGGUGGAUUGGUGGUUAAUUUAGAGGGCUUAUACUUACGAAAUGUUUCUGAGUCUUAGCUAGCUGGUCGCCGCUCGCCACUAUACAAGUUCUUUUACUUCCCAUUUUCUAAAGCUUGAUUCAGUCUUCUUUUUGUUUCUCAUGUACGUGUAACAUGAACUUGUUUCAAUAGUUCAAUGCCUUCCAUCCAUGGCUUCUCUGUUGUAGAUCUCUUGUUACAAUUGAUCAAUAUAGUAUAUGAAGAGAUUCUCAAGCCUUCUUAUAUAUGAACGUACGCCCGGCCCCUAAUGGUAUGUAUCUGAAGCGUGAGGUUAACUUACAGGGGGGGCAUAUCAAACAGCUUCAUUAUAUAUGGCAAUAAGCUGCUUCUUAACAUAAUAAUAAUAAUAAUAGACGGAGACUCCAGGACACUCAUUGUUUGCAGCAAUUACCAUCAUCCCAAAACUGAAGCACCUCACUUGAAUAUUCAGAUUGCGUUUGUUCAAAUUUACAAAGAAGCCAAAAUUACCAGCAGACUGAUAUAAAUUAAUUACUGCACACAUGCACACAUAGUUCUUAAAGUUUCCUUAGUGUUCAACAUAUAUGUUCGUAAUCUUUGUCAUUUUAUUUUGGAUCCAACAUGUUCGUGAAACUGCAGAACUAUGCGAGAUCUGUUUCUUAUUAAUAAUAAAAACCAAAUGUUUAUUGUAUCAUACAAGCUAGGGAUUCAUGAUCAUGCACGCCCCCAGUUAUGAUCGAUAUUCAAGUACUAAUACAGAGGCGAGUUCCAUCAGCCUGGUAAAUGGCGCAGCCUGGUUCCGGAGCGAAGCAACAGUUGCAGGGUGCCGAAAGAUGCUUGCCUCCUGAAGACGGGCGCGCAGGUCAUAUAAUUAGAAGCUGAAGCGAAGCAGAACAGAGGGCAAACUUUGGCUUCAGAUGGAUUUCCUCCUAGUAUGAUUGAACCUGCAUAUAUAUAUAUAUAUCAAAACCUUUUGUGAAUAUGGAUAAACACAUAUAAGAUAUACGUCUUAAUUUCAGAGGAUUCUAUCAAAACCUAGCUUGCUGAAUUUGUCAUAUAUGUUCUUGAGAACAGUAAUUCGAUUUUUCAUGCACUAGACAAUCGAAUUACUGAAAAGUGAUAUAUACACAGUUACACAGUUGAUUAUCGUACUUGUGUGAAAGUAAUUCGAAUUACAGAUUUUCAUUUUUCAAUUAACUUGUGUUCUUUGAUUUGAAACACGAAUUAAUUAACUACAAAAGCUUAAUUAGAAUGAAGAGAAUAGUUGAAAAGCUAGCGGUAAGAAAUCAUACCACAAAAAAGGAGAAGAACUAUUGCAGUGAUACUCGUCUCUAGCCAUGUUUUGCUUUUAGUUUUGAGGCUGGUAACAUAUAUAACGCCUGCUAUUUAUAUAGUCUAAUAAUCAACAACUAAAAUGUAAAGAAGAAUCUUUUAUCUCUGGUCCUUGGAAAACUCUGGGGUACUAGUGGGUAUAAUACAUUGUGACUUUUUCGAUUAUUUGUAACCAUUGGAUUGGUAAUAUGACCGAUGGUCACAUUUAUAAAACUGAAAUAAAUAAAUUAAAAAAAACGUUUCAGUUGUGUGAGAAAUAUUUUGAACCCAAUGAGGUUGGUCUAACUAAAGCAUGCUAGGCUACAGAUAGGGCGGACGUUGCAAAGAUUCUCCUAAUAAUAGGAGAUCAUUGAUUCGAACCCCAGCUUGUGAAAAGACCCCAUGGGGAGCAGUGGCGGACGCAGAAAGUUUUGUAAGUGGGGGCAAAAAAAAAAAAAAUUGAGGCUAAGGAGCCUCCAGAGACGACUCAAUGUCUAUUUCCACUUCCACUCCAUUAAUUUCAUAACUCUUCAUGUAGUUAAUUUGUAUUAUUUUGAAAGAUAUCGAAGUCUUUUUCACUAUUUAUAUGUAAUCCUAAUUAAGCACUAUAAAAUUGCAAGCUUUCCAACUUCAAAACUUCAAUAUAUGAAUUCAAGUUCAACCAGACCCCUCAAAAGAUCACCUAAAUUGAUACCCAAAACCAGAAAGCUAGAGAAUCAUUUAUUUUUACCGUUGUGGGUUAAUUAACAGAUUUUUAAACAAUAGAUGUAUAUGUUAAAUCAUGAUGGGGGAAAAUCAAAUGAACAUUGACAUAUAUAAGAAGAUGAUUAGCAAGAAAGAAAGUUCAUUGGGGGCAACUGCCCCCACUCGACCUCUCUGUGUCCGCCUAUAUUGGGGAGGGGCCAUACCUAAAAUUACUCCCGGCCUCAGAGUAGUAACUCAUCCGGCCAUCAUUUUCUAUCCAAAAAAAAGAAAUAAGAAGAAAAAAACACAGUGCAAAGAAAGAAUAAAAAUGAAAUUGAUUUGAUUUGAUUUACCGAAAAGUCGCAACAUGCAUGCACUAUUGUAUGUCAUAUAUGUUACCCUUAGAGUCCCUUAAGUUGACCUUGCUUAGUUUUAGGCUUGAAGACAUCUUAGAUGCUUAGCCCACCAAGUGCAAUGGUGCGUGUACGUGGUCGCUGAAAGAUAUUAUACGUCUCCUAGUAUAUAUCUUCUGGUGUGAAACCACAUAUAUAUAAAUAUAUAUAUGAUCAAGAUCAAGUUAAGUUGGAUCUUAAUGGUACCUUUGAAUUCAAACAAGCCAUGAUCGACUUGAUCAAAAAAUACAUAGAUCAGUACCACUACCAUAUAUAGCUAGUAUAGUUGUGUAACUUGGAGUAUAGAUAAUAGACUGCUGGCAUGGGGGGAAAUAAAAAUUCAGCUCAUAUGAUAUUACCAGAUGAAUUAAUAUCCAAAGUCAACAAAAUGGAGGGAAUUGAUUAUCAAGUUAGGCAUGAAGUUAGCUCUCACAUUUAUGGCUACCACAUAUCGGGGGCGUAUGUCAUUAGCGCAUUCGAUUCGUCGGUUUUCUUUGAUUUCCAAUUUGAAAACAUGAUCUCUCUCUCUCUCUCUCUCUCUCUCUCUCUGACAUUUCUCUGUAAACAUGCCGUACGUAGGUAUCCAUCGAGCUAGCGAUCGAAGUUUGGUUCCAUUUUUGGUUGUAAAAGAAGUUGUUAUUGUUUAAUGUUGUGUUUAAAGUUCGAAAACAACAACUUCAGUUCUUAAAGCAACAUAUGCGUUAAGAAUCACCCGGAAAAACAAGAUAAUUUGCAAUUUUUGGUUUUUAACGUAUUCCUAACACUGCAGAAUAUACCUUAAGUUCUCCUAUAGACAAAAGAAAAAAACCAAUACAAAUCAUGAAGAACAUCGAUCACGUCAAUAACCCAGACCCCGAGAUCUGUUUCUUAUUUCUUAUGAUGUUUAUUGUAUCAUACAAACUAGCUUGGGCAUCAUGACCAUGCACGCCCCCAGUUAUGAUCGAUAUUCAAGUAUCAACUCCUAGCUAGCUAGUACAGAGACAGAGGAGAGUUCCAUCAGAUUGAUAAAGGGCGCAGCCCGGUGCCGGAGCUAAGCAACAGUUGCAGGGUGGCGAAAGAUGCUUGCUUCCUGAAGACGGGCAGGUCAUAUAAUCGCGAGCACCGUAGCAAAACUGAGGGCAGGCUUCAGUUGGAUUCACUCCUAGUAUGAUUGAACCUGCAUAGCCAGAAACCUUUGUGAACAUACAUGUAUUAAGAUGCAAGUCUUAUUUUCAGAGGAUUCUAUCAAAACUUAUAUAGCUUGCUGAAUUUGUCAUGUUCUUGAGAGAUCAGUAAUUCGAUGGUCUAGUGCAUUCGUGUGAAAAGUGAUACACAGUUUUGGAUUGUUUCAUUACUUUGAAAAUCACAGAUUUCCCAACUGUUAAUUAACUUGUGCUUCUUUGCAUAGUUUGAAAUCGCACGAAUUAAUUAACUAAGAAAAGCUUAAUUAGAAUGAACAACAGUUGAAAAGCGAUGAGAAAUCAUACCACAGACAAGGAGAAGUAUUGCAGUAAUACUCUCUUGAGUCUCGUCUCUAGCCAUGUUUUGCUUCUAGUUUUGAGACUGGGAACAUAUAUAAGCCUUCUAUUUAUAUAGACUAAUAAUCAACAUCUAAAAUAUAAAGAAGAAUCUGAUCCUAGGAAAAUUCUAGGGUACUAGUGGGUCGUAUCAUACACACUAUCCUUUUUUGAUAAUUUGUGACCAUUGGAUGGGUAACAUAUCCUAUGGUCACAAAUAUUCAGAAGAUGUUACCUGUUUACCCUGUUACCAAAUAAAAAACCGAUUAAGUUGUGCGAGGAAGAAGAAGAAGAAGAAAUGAACGCAGAAAUUGGUGUCUAAGAGCGCAGUGCAAAGAAGGAAAGAAUGGAUACGAUUAGGGUUUACCGAAAAGUUAUUACACUUGUAUAUGGUCCUAUAAGUUACUAAUUUAUUGCCAAACCUACUAUUUAUAUCAUUAAUACAUACAAGGUCAUUUCACUAAGGGAUUUUUUUUUUUUUUUUUUUUUUUUUUUUUUUUUUACAUAUAUGAGAGACUGAGCAUUAGACCAACUUUUUUUAUCACAAAAUCACAUCUUCACUAUUCACUUUAUAGGUCUAUAUGAGUAGAUCACUUGAUUUCAUCCAAAUUGGUAAUCGUUAAAGUUUCAAACUAGCUUAAUAGACGUAUCAAAUCUGCCAAACCUGAACCGUUCAUGCAAAUCGUUGUUUUGAGCACCUUAAUGAUCACUAAUUUAGAUGAAAUUUUACAUAAAUGAUCUACAUAUUAGGACCUAAAAAUUGAACUGUUAAGAUUAAAAAUGUAAUCAAAAAGUUGGUCUAAUGCCUAAUCCCUUAAAUAUGUCAAAGAAAGAGAUCCCUUAAUGGAAGGGUCUCUGUGUAUUUGGUAUGCUAGUAUGUUGAUCACUAAUUAACUCUACUAGAUACAAAAACUCAGUGGGUGCGUGAGCACUCACUACUUGCCCCAGCUAGGUUGAUCCGCCCGUUUAUGCAAUAGCUAGCGCCCACUAUAUAUAUAUAGAGAGGGACGUCCGCACUCGGCUUAAAGUGCGGACGUUUGUCCGUUCUCCACCCUCCGGCACCGGCGACGACGCGCCUCCACCCCAGAAGACUCCAGCAGCGUCCCCGACCACUUUCUCUCCCGGCGAGUUCCGUUUUUUUCAGUUUCCUGCGAGAUCG
rnacentral:lncRNA from 1 species